CUGGCGGAAUGCUUUACACAUGCAAGUCGAGCGGCAGCGCGGGGGCAACCCUGGCGGCGAGCGGCGAACGGGUGAGUAACACAUCGGAACGUACCCUGUCGUGGGGGAUAACGAAUCGAAAGAUUCGCUAAUACCGCAUACGACCUGAGGGUGAAAGCGGGGGAUCGCAAGACCUCGCGCGAGAGGAGCGGCCGAUGUCGGAUUAGCUAGUUGGUGAGGUAAAGGCUCACCAAGGCGACGAUCCGUAGCGGGUCUGAGAGGACGGCCCGCCACACUGGGACUGAGACACGGCCCAGACUCCUACGGGAGGCAGCAGUGGGGAAUUUUGGACAAUGGGGGCAACCCUGAUCCAGCCAUUCCGCGUGAGUGAAGAAGGCCUUCGGGUUGUAAAGCUCUUUCGGCAGGAACGAAACGGUGGAGGCUAAUAUCCUUCAUCAAUGACGGUACCUGAAGAAGAAGCACCGGCUAACUACGUGCCAGCAGCCGCGGUAAUACGUAGGGUGCGAGCGUUAAUCGGAAUUACUGGGCGUAAAGCGUGCGCAGGCGGUUUUGUAAGACAGAUGUGAAAUCCCCGGGCUUAACCUGGGAACUGCGUUUGUGACUGCAAGACUUGAGUGCGGCAGAGGGGGGUGGAAUUCCACGUGUAGCAGUGAAAUGCGUAGAGAUGUGGAGGAACACCGAUGGCGAAGGCAGCCCCCUGGGUCGACACUGACGCUCAUGCACGAAAGCGUGGGUAGCAAACAGGAUUAGAUACCCUGGUAGUCC
rnacentral:rRNA from 1 species